UACGAAGGGGGCUAGCGUUGUUCGGAAUUACUGGGCGUAAAGCGCGCGCAGGCGGCCAGCCAAGUCAGGGGUGAAAGCCCGGAGCUCAACUCCGGAAAUGCCUCUGAAACUGUCUGGCUUGAGUACGGAAGAGGUGAGUGGAAUUCCCAGUGUAGAGGUGAAAUUCGUAGAUAUUGGGAAGAACACCGGUGGCGAAGGCGGCUCACUGGUCCGUUACUGACGCUCAGGCGCGACGGCGUGGGGAUCAAACAGG
rnacentral:rRNA from 1 species